GAUGAAGAACGCAGCGAAAUGCGAUACGUAAUGUGAAUUGCAGAACUCAGUGAAUCAUCGAGUCUUUGAACGCACAUUGCGCCCCCUGGUAUUCCGGGGGGCAUGCCUGUCCGAGCGUCAUUGCUGCCCUCAAGCACGGCUUGUGUGUUGGGCCUCCGCCCCCCGGCUCCCGGGGGGCGGGCCCGAAAGGCAGCGGCGGCACCGCGUCCGGUCCUCGAGCGUAUGGGGCUUCGUCACCCGCUCCGUAGGCCCGGCCGGCGCCCGCCGGCGACCCCCCUCAAUCUUUCCAGGUUGACCUCGGAUCAGGUAGGGAUACCCGCUGAACUUAAGCAUAUCAAUAAGCGGAGGA
rnacentral:misc_RNA from 1 species